rnacentral:lncRNA from 1 species
ACAAAAAUUGAAAUUGCUUUACAACAAUUGGGAUGGCCCCAACAAACACCCAUCAGUAGGUGUUGAAUUUCUUCUUGCUUGGUAUUCUCUUCUUCUUCUACUUUAUGCUAAAUUUCUUCAAAAAGUUGAUCGAACCAAGCACAUGUUUCCAUGCAUCAAUCAUAGGAACUUUAAUCUCCAAUUUCUUGAAGAUCUCCAUGAAGUACUUGAACCUAUUUUCCUUCCUAUGAUUUUUCUUCUUAUGAGGAGUGGGUUUUUUAUGUGAUCUUUUCUUCUUUACCCUCUUCCUCUUUUUCUCAACCUUCUCCCUCAACUUUCUCUUUUUCUCUUUUCUUCUUUUUUCUUAACCACUGCUUUUUGUCCCUCAUCAUCUUUAUCUUCCUCAACCAACUCUUUUGUUUCUUCUUCUUUUAAAUCUCUCUCUAUCUCUUCUUCCUCUAUCUUUUCCUCCUUGACAACCUUAUCAUUUUUAGAGAUAGU